UACGAAGGGGGCUAGCGUUGUUCGGAAUUACUGGGCGUAAAGCGCACGUAGGCGGAUAUUUAAGUCAGGGGUGAAAUCCCGGGGCUCAACCUCGGAACUGCCUUUGGUACAGCAAGUCUUGAGUUCGAGAGAGGUGGGUGGAAUUCCUAGUGUAGAGGUGAAAUUCGUAGAUAUUAGGAAGAACACCGGUGGCGAAGGCGGCCCACUGGCUCGAUACUGACGCUGAGGUGCGAAAGCGUGGGGAGCAAACAGGG
rnacentral:rRNA from 1 species